rnacentral:rRNA from 1 species
GACGUAGGGGGCGAGCGUUAUCCGGAUUUACUGGGCGUAAAGGGCGCGUAGGCGGACCGUUUCGCCACCAUUGAAAGCGUGGGGCUCAACCCCAUGAGGGUGGUGGGACGAGCGGUCUAGGGGCAAGCAGAGGAAGGUGGAAUUCCGGGUGGAGUGGUGAAAUGCGUAGAGACCCGGAGGAACACCAGUGGCGAAGGCGGCGUCCUGGCCUGCGACUGACGCUGUGGCGCGAAAGCUAGGGGAGCGAACGGG